rnacentral:rRNA from 1 species
CGUUCCCGGGUCUUGUACACACCGCCCGUCACACCACGAAAGUCAGCAACACCCGAAGCCGGUGGCCUAACCCGCAAGGGAGGGAGCCGUCGAAGGUGGGGCCGGCGAUUGGGGUGAAGUCGUAACAAGGUACCC